GAUGAACGCUGGCGGCAUGCCUAAUACAUGCAAGUCGAGCGAACGGACGAGAAGCUUGCUUCUCUAAUGUUAGCGGCGGACGGGUGAGUAACACGUGGAUAACCUACCUAUAAGACUGGGAUAACUUCGGGAAACCGUAGCUAAUACCGGAUAAUAUUUUGAACCGCAUGGUUCAAAAGUGAAAGACGGUCUUGCUGUCACUUAUAGAUGGAUCCGCGCUGCAUUAGCUAGUUGGUAAGGUAACGGCUUACCAAGGCAACGAUGCAUAGCCGACCUGAGAGGAUGAUCGGCCACACUGGAACUGAGACACGGUCCAGACUACUACGGGAGGAAGCAGUGGGGAAUAUUGCGCAAUGGGCGCAAGCCUGACAGAGCAACACAGCGUGGGUGAAGAAGGUCUUCGGGUCGUAAAACCCUGUUGUUGGGAAAGAAAAGAAGUGGGAGUAAAUGUGGCUAUCCUGACGGUACCCAAAGAGAAAGCAACGGCUAACUACGUG
rnacentral:rRNA from 1 species